UAAUUUUUAACUGGUCUAUUUUAAAGAAUCUAAUUAUUUACGUAAAGUACAAAUAGAAUUAUAUAUAUGUAAGUCUUUAAGAAUUUUCUUUUUCUUUCUCACUUUUAACUUUCUUUUCAAAUUUCUACAAACACCUUCUGAAAUUGUUUUAUUGCAUAGAAAGCCUGCGGCAGACGAUGCGAUUUUUCCUGCUGGAUUGCUUGCGAUCUACUGAAUUACUAGAAUUUCUGCGAGCUGUUUGGUUCAUUUCUAGCAAUUUACUAAAUCGCAAGCAAUCCAGCAGGAAAAAUCGCAUCAUCUGCCGCCGGCUUAAAAGUGUAAGUACAUACUUCCAAUUUUAUUCCUAGAAAUGUGCGUGUUAAAAUUAAAAUAAAGGACGGUUUUUUGGAAAUGGUAGAUUGACAAUCCAUUCGUGGUGAACUUUUAAGGGCUGGAAUGAACGAGUAAAAAAAAAGGGAAUGCAUUGAUCAUGUCCAAAAACGAAUGGGUACCUGCCUUUGCCACUUGAAAUCCACGAAAGAACUUGGAGAAAAAAGUAAAUUGAAUAGGAAACUUAUAAAUGAAUUGUCUCUUUUUUUGGAUCCAUCGUAAUUAUGAUUCAAUUGUAAAUAUGAGACGAGAGAUCUGGACAACUCUUUAUCAUAAAUUAUUCACAGACAAAAAGUCACAGAAUGAUAAAUGCCCGCCCGGUAAAGAUUCGUGGUGUAAAUGGCACCAGGCGAAAACCAUUAAUAUAUUAGCUGAAUUCAAGCAAAAGCCAGCUCUUUCUGAUUUUGGAUGCUAUUAAGCCAAUCUAUAAAGACUUAAGCAGUGACGAUCUUCUUGAACGUUGUUUAAGUGGCUACACACAAAGCAGUAAUGAGAGUUUCAACUUUGAUUUGGUUAAUGGCUCUAAAAACAGUUUUCAGCGGUAAAGUUAUCCUUGAUACUGCAAGUAAUAUUGCUGUUUGCAUACUCAAUGAUGGCUAUUCAAACGUUAUAAAAAUUAUGGAAGAGUUAAGCAUGACAAUUGGACCGAACUGCUACAAUUACUGCCUCGAGAAUAACGCGCGACGCAUCAAGUAUUCGGUGCGCUUGCUAACAAAUGCUGCAAAAGGGACUUGAUUAUCUCUAAAAUCGACCAAGAGGGUUAAGGAGGAGGAGAACAUCAAUAAGGAAAGCCAAUUGUAUGGUGCAGAUUAAAGAGCAAAAAUUGGAGCAGAUUUUGGUUUGGCAGUGAGGCACCUUCCGAAACGUGUGGUCAAGUUUUUUCACCGCCAUUUUGUAAUAAAACUACACAACAAAAAUUUUUUUAAUACUUUGAAAUAUGUAGAAUAAGGUACUUAAAAAAGAUUUUGCUUUACUGUUUUCGUUUUCCUGUAAAAAAUGAUCAAAAAUAGGCCUUUUUUGGAGGCUCUAGAGUGGCGUUACUCCUUAACAUAUCUGAGUUAAAGUCUAUGUAAAAAUUAUAAUUUAGCAUUGAAAAAUUUAAUUUAGUGCUUCA